rnacentral:lncRNA from 1 species
ACACAAGUACUAAUAAUACAAAAGUCAAUCAUAUGGUCCUAAUAUAAAAUUUUGAAAAAAGAUAGCUAAAUUAUAUUAAUUUAAUUUUAUAAUAAUAAUGAAUGGAUGACACAUUACAGUACAUACCAAAAUCAAGAACUUCUCAACAACUAAAAAAUAGUGGUCGGUGCAUCUCAUCCUUAUCCUCUCAUCUUUUCCAACACAAUUCCCCU